rnacentral:rRNA from 1 species
GACGAACGCUGGCGGCGUGCUUAACACAUGCAAGUCGAACGGAAAGGCCCUGCUUUUGUGGGGUUCUCGAGUGGCGAACGGGUGAGUAACACGUGAGUAACCUGCCUUUGACUUUGGGAUAACUUCAGGCAACUGGGGCUAAUACCUGAUAGGAGCUCCUGCUGCUUGGUGGGGGUUGGAAAGUUUCGGCGGUUGGGGAUGUACUCGCGGCUUAUCAGCUUGUUGGUGGGGUAGUGGCUUACCAAGGCUUUGACGGGUAGCCGGCCUGAGAGGGCGAACGGCCACAUUGGGACUGAGAUACGGCCCAGACUCGUACGGGAGGCAGCAGUGGGGAAUAUUGCACAAUGGGCGGAAGCCUGAUGCAGCAACGCCGCGUGCGGGAUGAAGGCCUUCGGGUUGUAAACCGCUUUCGCCUGAGACGAAGCGUGAGUGACGGUAAUGGGUAAAGAAGCACCGGCUAACUACGUG